AGAAAUCUGAAAAUACAUCCAGCAUCACUAGGCAUCAGAGAAAUCCACGAGAAACCACAACCAAGAGGAGGAAAGUGAAGGCCAGUGAAGACAGGGUGUCAUGCAGCCCACCUGGGAUGCGGCACCAGCUUAGCAAUCUGCACUCCUGGCCCUCCAUCCAUUCAACACCACCUGUUCUUUCCUUCAAGUACUGGCAUGACAGACAAGUGCCACCAACUCAGCCAACCUAAGCUCUUUUUUGUAAGUAAAACAGAAUCCAAAUCGUGUCACUACUAUCAAA
rnacentral:lncRNA from 1 species